GUUGAAUAGUUGCUCUCUGGGUGAUCAUCAUCUAUUCCAUGCACUGAAUGAGGCCUGGGAGCCUGUGGGAAAAUAGAAGCAUGAAAGAAGGUGAUGUUUCUUGGACUGACGUGGCUGCACAGGAAAUACCAAUUGGCUGCUGCUGUGGUAAAUCACAGUUGCCAUGUCUAUGAAUGGCAACAUGCUGUUUUCCCAUCUUAGAUAUUUGAUUCACUUUUGAGAAAUCGAGUGGCUGCGUAGAACCCGGGAGACAAACUUCUUAAAGAUACAGCGAACUGUCUGCCAGAGACCUGCGUUUCAGCUGCCACUUGACUGUUAAACUUUAUUGUAUCUCUAAAUCCAUACACUUUGGCUUAGAGUAAAAGGAGAUGAACAAGAAUAAAAAUCCCACUGUAAAUCACAGUAUGUGGAGUCUCUGAGAAAUUCGCACUGGAUUUCUUGAGCCAACAAUGAAGGGAGGCAAGCCUGAGAUGAGAAAAAGACAGGGAAAUGGGGAGUCAUGAAUACAGCAUAGGAACAGAACUUUCCACAGUGCUGCUUUUCUUGUAGGUUAAUGUAUAGCUGAGAUCCAUCAAAGAGAGCAAAAAAGGGGGAACCCUUCAGCAUUAUUAAUUUAUAACUGACCUUGGAUAAGAGGUGCCUAAUACUUUAAAGAGCUUAAGCACUAGGAAGGGUUUAGUCGGCCACCAGGAAACACUGGAAAAGUAUGCGAGCUGUUGCCAUACAGAAAUUGGACCAUUCUGCCUCACAUUUAGCUAGAAAGCCCACAGUGGCACAAUAAGAAUCUAAACAUUUUUUUUUCCGGUUUGCAGCAGAGGAAGUGAAGGAGUCAAUCCCCACAAGCAGAGAUUGAAAACAGUCACAUAAGCCUUAUGCAUGCAGCACUACUAUUGUAUAUUAUUGUAUAUGCACAUUGCCCGGUAACUGAAAGGGAUAUUCUUGGAAAGCUGCCUAAGGAGUUAGGUUACUGGUAUAGGUUCCAUGGAGCCACACUAAACAUGAAAUUGCCACUACACCUUUCUGGCUUCCACGGGAUUCAGAAAAGACGCCUGCCUAUUGGGUAACCUGUGCUUUUGUUUAGACUAGAGCAAAGAUCCCUCUCUACACAGUUAAAGGCACAAUUUAUGGUGGGGAAAAUGAAUAACCUGACUUAAUGUUGCAAACGAGAAUCUGGUUUGGGAAAGUCAGCAGAAGCUGAUUAAAGGGUAGUGUUCUUGCUGAUGAAAUUGGUGUUGAUGUUGUUCCUGUACCAGCAUCAAAGACCCACACUAAGAGCUACCAGACUGAAGAGAAGGCAGGGUCUGUUAGGAAUGUCAGUACAUAGUAAGCUACAUCAAUGUAUUCACAGUCUCUUUAUCUUAGUGUCCUCUUUGAUAUAGUUUGGAUAAAGAAAUUUUCUGCAAGACCUGAAUGGUCCAUGUGGAUAUCAAGUGUGUGUGGAACACAGAGCCUUAUCAUACCACCUGGGGAUCACUGUAACCCCAAAACUGUGUCAACCCUAAAACUAUGUUAAAAAAUGGUCACAAGGAGAGUGGAAGAGGCCAGGUGAGGCAAUAAAUGCACUCUGAUUCUGGCUCAAAAGCUGUUAUAAAGAUGAGGGAAAACAACUUCUAAAUAACUCGGUUAAUGACCAUUUUUGGAGUUCAAGUUGAGAUUCUGCAAUGCUUCAAUAUAUGUUGUUGUUGUUAUGGUUUUUUUUCCCCCCCACUUCUGAUUUUUAUCCAAAACUGGAAGUACAGGAAAUCCCUCAAGAAAGGCAGUUCUGGAGAUUUUGUUCCAGCCCAAUUUGGGGCUCUGGGGUCUGGGACAGAAGUUGCAUAAACUGGUUUGACCCAAAUCAUAUAAGUCUGAUACUACAUUCAACCAGGUUUAUCUUAAACCAGUUCCAGUCGUUUAGAAACUACUUUAUGUGCCCUGAGCUGCUGUUUUGUUACAGGUUUAAACCAGUUUCUGAUCACUUAAACUGGUUUAUGUGUAACUUCUGUCCCUAGCCUAGAGGACCAGAUCGUUUGGAUAAACCUUGUAAACUUGUGGUUGUUUAUCUGAACUAAACCUGAAAUCUGAAUCUUUUAAGGUUCACCCCUUUCUAUAAGGCCUAACCUAAUUCAAAUUGAAGUCAGUGGGAAGCAAGGCCAUAAGGAAGAUAGGUUUUAAUGUCCUUUUCUUUCUAGCUAUGAAUGAUUCCAGCCCCCAAGAUAACUUCUAUGUGUUGCUGAGCAUUAAACAGGUAGAAAAUGUACCAAAUAUAAACAGCUAAAGACUGUAUACACCAUUGCUCUUCCAGCUGCUAAACAUCUCAUUACAUGCCAGUCCCAGUCUUUGCAGAAGGAGUGAGUCGGUGAGAAGUUCUUAUAUAGCUAUGAUUAUUUUCUAACUGUUGAGUACACUUGUUGAUAUCUGCCCUUCUUGACGAUGAAGAUGAUUGACCAAAAAUGCCACAGCAUUAAGUUACUGAUUAAUUAAGUAAAACAAACCAACCAGUAAAAAACCCACAAGAUUAAACAAAGAACUCUAAGCAAAGCACAUGUUUACCCGGAUCAGUAAGACUUGUUAAAGUUAACACAGUAUUUUUUCCCCACUCAUAAAGCUCAUGCACUGUAGCAUCUAAAGGUCUCCCAUUUAUUUAUUUGCUUUUCCUCACCAUACCUCUGUGAAGUAGGGAAGUAAUUUAUAAUCCCUAUAAUGCAGACAAGGAGCAGAGGCACAUAGCGCAACAUAUUAGUCUUGUGAAGUAAAUGGAAAACCACCCAUUGAUUUCAAUGGAGCUACCGCCCAUAGUAAGAUGUGCUACCAUGAAAAUAUGCCCUGUCUACUCCCUAAUACCUCAUGCUGGAAAAAUGUAAUGUAGCUGCUGUUACAGGGGUACUAGACGUGUGUUAAUAAAGAUUCCCAAGUGCAACUUAGACAUUUACCAAACAGUGGUUAUGUUUCUUUUUUUUUGUUCGCAUUGGUGAGUAUGGAACAGGGGCAAGUAGGCAGGGUUUAUUUUCAUGGCAGUGUUUCCCAGUACAGUGAUACAGAUAUUAGGGUUGUGCAAAGCUUCGGUCCUUGAUUCAAGUCGGUGGAGAUUUGGCCCAAUUCAGUGGCUGAAUCGCCGAAUCUGAAUCGAAUCAGGAGACCCUUUAAUCUCUCUGAAUUGAAUCGGAACCCUCCAAAUCAAUUUGGAGAGAUUCAGAAAGAUUCAGCCAUUCGGACAUAGACACAGAUUUAAAUGUUUUUUCUAUAUACCUCAGGAUACCUGAGCUUGUGAAUGCUGUGAUGGUGGGGCAGAUGGAGUGUGCCACAGAAGCUUGGGGGGCUCCCCAGCGUGCUCGGCAGCAGAGCCGGAAGUGGACCAGAAGCACUUAAUUCCUUGAUGUGCAAUCAAGGAAGUUUCUGGAAAGCAACUAUAAAUUUUCCUUGGAGAAAUCUCAAAAUUAGCAAUGCAUUGCCAGAGAUGGAGAGGAAAGCAUUGCACUUUAAUUUUAAUAAUGUAUUUGUCUGAAACAUGUUUUCUUCACAUUCAGUAUUCCCCCCAAAUCAUACUUUCAUCGAUAAUACUAGUGCUAUGACUUGUCAUCACAGCAAUAAAAUUGUACUGUUUUUAAAUAUCUGCUGCUUUAAAAGCCUUUUUGUAGAUCUUAUUUGAUAGACUUUAGACCAGAUUUUCAGAAGAACUCCAAAAUCAAAAACUCUCAUUUAGUUUCCUAAAAUAUAGGGCUGAAUUUGUUAAAAGGGCCUUGGUAUAUGUCAGUUUGAUGUUAUUCUGAAUGGCUUCUGAGACCUGCUGGAUGACAAGCAAUUUUGAAAACCUUGGCACUUAUGUGAGAUGUCUAAGUGGAAACUCAGUUCUCUUGAAAAAUCUGUUUUUUAGUCAUAUGCAAUGUCUCUAGCACAAUACAGCCUAGGGUGACACUUAGGUUAUCCUCAUUCAAAAGGGUUUUGAACAUUUAAAAAAGGCUUGCAAACAGAUCUGAAUUCAAGUAUACUCUUGAAUGGAUGCAGCAUGGGACAUGGCAAGUUUGUGGGAUGUUUAGAACUUGAAGACUUACACUAUAUUUCAUUUUUCUUGUGCUUGGGUUCUGUCCAUCCAGAAUGAAGCAUCUAAAUUGUUUAGCAUUGAAAUUUCAAGUCUUUAAACCCAGAAGUAGUAAGGCUUGAUUGAAACUGUUCUGCACAGAUACAUUAUGCACCUACCUGUGUGCUGCAGGCAACAAUUCUCAAAUGUACAUAGUACUUCUGCCUCUGAGGAAAUAUGGAUGGGAACAAAAGCUAUAAGAACAUAUUUGGCUUCCAGGGAUAACCUUUUUAUAAAGGAACCCAUCUUUUCUCCUAAUAAAGCUAAUGUAAUAAAGCAUUGAAUUAAUGUAUGUGUAAAAAAUCAGCCAGAAAUAAUAGGUUAAGAAAAAUGUUCAUAGCAGCAGGAUGUAGGAAUGCCUCCUAGAUAUGCUUAACCUGGUAUGUAGAACUGUUUAUAUAGCAAACCAAGAAGAUUAGCUGCUAUACAUAAGGUCCAAGCAGAUUUGAAUCAGAGGAAUUAUGCUUAUUCCAAGGAUAUGCUAUACCAAACUUUUUAUGAUCAAAGAUUGCUUUGGGGGCUUUCCCACAGAUUGUACACUUAACCUGAACUUGAGAUAGAACUAGAAAGUUAUCUGGUUCAAAUGUUCACCAUCUGAAUCAUCUUUAGCUUAUCUGAGCGUAUAUCUUUGCUGCCUCUGUCUUUUCUAACUUCAUUAAAUUGACAAUACACAUUGCCAUCCACCCCUUGGUUAUAACUUAUUUUGAAGAAUGUUUACACAGCUAAAUAAUUGCACAGUCCAUUUUCAAGUGGGAUAUGUAACAUCUUUUUGAUUUUAAAAUGUUUUAAUGAGGAGGUCAGUAAAAAGCAAAUUACCAUCAAUGGUAGCAUAUUCUAGCACCAAUGCUGUUUUAUCUUUCAUGGAGAAAUAAACUGGGCAAUAAACUCAUGUGAUUAUCAGUGUGAAUGAAAUCAUUCAGUAGAGCAAAAUCACAAGAAUAAACAAUCCCACAUUCCAUCAAAAGAGAAAAUUUCAUUUGGAGCUUCAAAUGAAAGAACAGUUGUACUAGAGGGAUGGUGAGCUAUGAGCACUGAUCCAAUACCUCUUCUCUUUGAAGACAAGACCUAUACCUCUAGAUCUGGAUCAGAACAUCAUGGCUUGGGCCUGUCUCUAUUGGCCAGAACUAGAACAUUGAAUCAACUUUGUAUAGCUUUGGUGAGGUUAGAUCCAUUCCUGCUCUAGAUCUGAGAUUCACAGCUUGGGGCUCAGAAUAAGAACAUUCAAUUAAAAAACUACCAAAUUCUGGGAAAGCUGAGAGGCAGGUCUAGAUCUGCAUCUAAAUGGUAUAGUUGGGGUUCAGUUUAUCUCUAAAGCAAGCAAUUUAAUAUGCAACUACAUUCUAUAUUCUUUUGCCACUCUUACUUGUUUCAGAUUCAUAUAAUUUGCCAUCAGAUCAAAAUGAGUUUCUUUUGCUUAAACAUAUUUAUUAUCAUAAUUUGUCUUAGGAAUGACUUUGUUGUUACAAAUUUAAUGCUGUAUCUUUUCUGCUGGAACAGAGAGGAGCAGGAAGAGACAUUUGGGGUGAGGGGGGCAAAUAGCUGGAUGUCAAAGUUUUUUGUCUAAGGUCAUUUCAGGUCAAACAAGGUUAAAGGUUGGUCAUUGGUUUAGUCCUUCCAAAAAAUCAGGCUACUUAUUUAAGUUCCUAAAUAUGGAUUUUGGAGCUCAACAUUGAAUAUCCAGUCUUUAAAAUCAUGUUAAUUUCUGCUUUCUGAUUUUAAACUUUUCAAACAGGAGAAUAAGAAAGGAUGAUUAUCAACUUGAAUACUGUCUACUAUUAGUUUUCAGAUAAAUAAUCACUUACUUAGAAACUGAAGAAAUUAAGACAGUCCAUUAAUAGCUAGUGCUUGUCCAAAAAUUUGUAAACUACUAAUAAUUUGACCUCAUAUAUAACAGUAGUGGAUUUCAUUACAUUAAUUGUGAAAAUAUUUGAAAAUUACUUUCUGCAUUAUUCCACCAACUAUGGUGAAGGUCCAAACCAAAUAAGCCUUUUGGAGAGGAAAGGCAACAGUUCAAAUUAUAAAGAGAGAAGCUACUGAAAAAAUCAGUGCAGUCGGUUCAUUCUUUAAAGAACUGGUGUAUUAGAAUCUGUGUGAGCCAGACAGCUGAAUUUCAUGACAGACAGAUAUUUUCUGUGAUUCUUUCUGUCUCAGUUUCAAUUACAUCAUGCAAGAACACUUCCUCUCCUGGGGCAGGCUUUGUUUGCCCUGCAUUUUAAUGAAAUCCUGAACAGUUGUUCAAGAAGUGCCCCAUUUCUUGUACUCUGCAAAAGAAUUUAGGAAAAUAAUUGAAAGACCUGCUACUUGAAACAUGGAAAUGUUUGCCACAUUUCUACUUUUGACAUAAUAUGUAUCUAAAAUGAGUUUUAUACUUCAUCAUUUGCCUGCCCAUCAAAAUCUAUAUAUUCUGUUUAGUGGUUUAGCUGAUAUAUCUCAGGAAAAGUAUUCUUCAGGGCUCUUAUAUGGUGAUCUGAGAAAAAGGGGAGAGAGCAAUUCUUAAAUUCUGCUUCUGAUUUAGAUGCUUUUUUACCUUCUGCUUAUUUCUGCAUUCCAAUGUAUUACAUUUUGCAAAGGGACAUAA